CCAAUAGCGUAUAUUAAAGUUGUUGCAGUUAAAAAGCUCGUAGUUGAACUUCGGGGUUUACUCAUUGGUCAGGCUUAAUUGUCUGUACUGAUGAGAUGAGUCUCUACCUUCUGAGGAACUUUCAUGCCAUUUAUUUGGUGUGGUUGGAAAUCAGGACUGUUACUUUGAAAAAAUUAGAGUGUUUAAAGCAGGCUAACGUCUGAAUACAUUAGCAUGGAAU
rnacentral:rRNA from 1 species